CUGCUCAUGCGCAAGACUUCAAAUUUAACUCAAAAACGUUGUUUUGGCGCCAAGCUGCUGUUUCUUUGAGAGAUCCUGCCUUUACCUGCUCCCUCCUAUACUGAUGUGGUGUAUGUGGUACUGCUGAGCUUGUAUGUGAUCUGAACCAUUGUAAAGGUUGCAGUUCAAGGGCCUGAGGUGGAAGCAGAAUUUGUGAGGAUUACUACUGCUCCACUUGUUCCAAGGCUUUUUGCACAACUUGACCAAUACACUGACCAGCUCAUAAAAGUCUUCAAGAAAAAAGGAGGC